UACGUAGGGGGCUAGCGUUGUCCGGAAUCAUUGGGCGUAAAGCGCGCGUAGGCGGUCAGGUAUGUCCGGUGUGAAAGUCAAAGGCUCAACCUUUGAAUGCCGCUGGAUACUGCCUGACUUGAGUCCGGAAGGGGCGAGUGGAAUUCCUGGUGUAGCGGUGAAAUGCGCAGAUAUCAGGAGGAACACCAAUUGCGAAGGCAGCUCGCUGGGACGUUACUGACGCUGAGACGCGAAAGCGUGGGGAGCAAACAGG
rnacentral:rRNA from 1 species